rnacentral:rRNA from 1 species
UACGUAGGGGGCUAGCGUUGCCCGGAUUUAUUGGGCGUAAAGAGCGUGUAGGCGGCCAGGUAGGUCUGGUGUGAAAACUCGAGGCUCAACCUCGAGACGUCGGCGGAAACCAUCUGGCUAGAGUCCGGAAGAGGAGAGUGGAAUUCCUGGUGUAGCGGUGAAAUGCGCAGAUAUCAGGAAGAACACCCGUGGCGAAGGCGGCUCUCUGGGACGGUACUGACGCUGAGACGCGAAAGCGUGGGGAGCGAACAGG